rnacentral:rRNA from 1 species
GUAUUUUGUAAAGUUGUUCUAGUUUUGUAACUAAAAUGGUUUGGCAGUGAGCGAUUCUUAUUAGGGGAAUAUGCAUAGUGAAGGAUGGUCCACCUAUUAGUUUACUCUUUUUAUGUUGGUGUAUGUCUGGUUUGAUAUUAUUGUUGAAUAAUUUAAGUUUGUGUAGUUUUAGUUAAGCUAAGUCUAUGUGCUGCUUAUGGGAGUUUUUGUGUGUUACAUUAAUAAGGGUGUUAUUGUAAGAUGAUGUGAUUUAG